AACCAUUGUAGAUCAUCUUAAAUGGUUGAUAAAAAAAAAGACGAUACAAGUAAAUGACAAAAAUAUACAAAUUUCACACGCUCAAUUGGAUCACUCUUUUGCAAAAUGCAUUCAACAGUAUUACGCAAAAAUGUAAAUCUUAGAAAUAGCAUGUUUUGGGGUCUCACAAACAUAUUAUCUUAAGGUGACUAAUUUAAACACAAUGGAUAGAUACGGAUGCAAAAAUUUAAGCAAGCAACAAUUGCAAUUUGUAAAAUAUUUUAAGCGAUUCAUGCGACUGCCG
rnacentral:lncRNA from 1 species